GCCAUGGCUCAGUGGCAGAGCAUCUUCUUUGCAUGCAGAUGGUCUUAAGUUCAAUCCCCAACAUGUCCA